rnacentral:tRNA from 1 species
CCUCGGUCGGCUCGGGCGUCGGGGUGCGGGGGUUCGCGGAGGCCUCGAGGAGGUCCGCUGCCGAUUCGCCGUCGGCGGUCGCGGUGUCGGUCGGGGUC